AUGGAGUUGAUUAUGGAGUGGCUCACGUAAAUCUUGCUGCUGCAGACAACAAUGAUAAGAAAUCAGAUUAAAUGACCAUCCGUAAAAGAAUGUCCGCUAUAGUGCCAAGACACUGUUUUCAGAAGAUUAAUUUUUAUCAAGCUGGAUGAUAUGAAUUUUUGCUAUCAUAGUCUGUCCGGAAGCAAAGUGGCUCAUUGAGCUUUAAUGGAUAAUACUUUCUAAGACCCAAAGGAGUGAGCUGCUUUCGGAACUAGUGAUGAAGCCCUCUAACAAUUUCCAGUGGCGAGUAAUUUCCAUUUGAAGCCCGGCCAUCAGUAGAAUCAUUGAUGAUGGUGAAGCAAGCUAUAUUACAGAUGUAUCCUGUCUUGUCUCUAUCUCACUUGAAGCGAGGUCAGAUACCAGAUUUGUUAUCUCUCUCAUCUACUCUUGCAAUCAGGUGGAAGGAGGACUUUGUUACCUCUGUACCCGUGCUCAUUGUCAGUUUUAAGUGUGAUGUGAAGAAGGUGAUCAUUAUGGAGUUCAAAGAACCUUUCUGGAAAGAUGCUAUUCCCCUCAGUUCUUGCAGAGUUUGCAUCAAAUCUUUCUGCUGUAAACAACAUCGGAUUGCUCACGAGACUGAAGUGCACCCAAGCCAAUUAUCCGAAGUUGAAUCAUUACCAGAAAUAUGCCAGAAAUGUCAUGUCCUCGUGAGUAACUGCAAAGACCUUAAAAGUGAAUGUGUCAAAAUUGUAAGUGUUCCAUUAACAAAUAUCAAUCCAAAUACACCAAUAAUCAAUCGUGUACAUAAGAGAACUUAUGCUCAAAUGAACAUAGCCAAAGAGCGGCGUCCAACACCAAUGCCAACCAAUGCUCAUCCUUUGCGAGCCAAAAGAAAUGCAAAAAGGAAAGCUUGCAAGUCCAAAGAAACCUCCACCAAAGAAAUACUGAAGGAAAAUUCCUCUGAAACAAGUCCUCGAUUUGAAGAAAUCAAGUCCAGUAGCACUCCGAUUCGCAACCACCAUGAUCCUUUGCGGGUGAAAUUACUAAAAAGUAAAAUUGAGGUCCCAAGACAGACUCUAAGUGUGAGUACACGGACUCUGUCACCAUCACCUCAGCGCAAAAGACCAAACUUGUCCAUCGAAAAAAGUUGUCUAAUUUCAAGUGAAGUAAAAAAUGCUGUCUCUGAAUCUCCUCCACAAAACACAAUGGAUAUUUCUGUCUAUGGAACUCCUUGUGCCGAAACAGUCACUCCAUUUCACUGUCCCAAAAAACACAACGUUCAUUUUACUCACGUCUCUAUUUAUGAAGCAACAAAGUCAAGGGACUCUUCAACUUCCGCUAGCAUGAACUUCAGUAACAACUUUUCAAACGAAGACAUCAAUGUUGCUGGAGAAGCAAAAAAUGAAUGCGGUGUGUUUGUUCAUUCGAGAGACCAACUAAUGGACGGAAAUCACGCACCUGUUGAAAGUAUUUCCAGAAACAACCCACAGCCAACAGCUAACCUUCAAUGCAUGGAUACAAGUAUAGACAUCUCCAAUAACAUAGUUGCUCUAGCUAAGGACUCUUCGGAAUCAAAUCGCAGGCAAGAUUCUUUGAACUCAUCACCUUGCUCCAAUGCUCACACCCACACUAAAACACCAGAUUGCACAGUCUUUUUUUCACCUCAUCCCAUCAAAGCUGAGCUAUCUAUCCAUCCAAAUUACAGGCAAGAAUUUGAUUUAUCUCCUUCGGAAUCAGAGUUAGAGUGGAAAUCCUUUUUUGUGGUAGAGAAGACUCCGUCGCCAGCUCAAAUCACAGGACAUGUUAAAAAUCAUUCAGUGCAAAUCUCUGACAUUGAUCCUGUAGAGAACCAGAUUUUUCCGAACGUCGACAGCAAUGGAGAGCCAAAACCUGAUCAUGUUCCAGUACCCAACAUUCAAGAUUGUGAGGUUGUUUCCAGUGACCCCAUCAAAACUGAUCUACCUCGAGUUUUGGGAGUUCCAGAUUCUGGGCAAGAAUUUAAUUUAUCUCCUUUGGACUCAGAGUUAGAGUGGAAAUCCUUUUUUGUGGGAGAGAAAACUCCGUCUCCAGCCCAAAUCCCAGGACUGAUCAAAAAUCAUUCAGUGCGAAUCACUGACAUUGAACCUGCAGAGAACCACAUUCUUCCGCACGGCGACAACAAUGAAGAGCCAAAACCUGAUCGUGUUCCAGUACCAAACAUCCAAGAUUACGAGGUUGCUUCCAGUAAUCCUUUAAAGACAACAGGAAGUGUCUCAAUGGCAGAUAAGUCAACCAGCAAUCAAAUCAGCAGCAGCAGUGUCAGAUGUGUCUCUGAAUCUUGCGAUGCUGAUCAUGCGGCUGGCAGCGUGAUUUGUACGGAUGAAAAUAAGGUGAUGGAAUCAAAGUCAAACCCUGCUCAAGUGUCACACUUUUAUCUUGAUGACUCUCAAUUUAAACUCGUCAAUUGUCACAGCACUCCAAUGGUGCCAGCUAUACUGCGAUUGAAUACAUCUUUGGAUGAGUCUGUCUCCUUCAACAGAGAAAAUUGUCUGUCUGACUCAGGCACUCCAGGUCAAGCAGGUCUCAUAGGAUUCGCCAAGAAAGGUAUCAAAUCGCUGUUUCCUUCUCUCUUCAAGCAAAGAAGGAGCAAGAGCGCAGAAGAUUUGUCCUCAUUGGCCUCAAAGAGUCCGCUCGUUACAAGUGGGAUCAGUCCUCUCAAAAGUUCGAAUUUUCAUUCUCCUCUGUCCACUUCAGUGAGAAACGUCCAAACUACCACUACUGUCUGCGUGAGCGAGGAAACUUCUACGUCUGCUGAGCAGACGACAGCUUUAAGUGCUGUUUUGAAGAGAAAGCCUAUUUGGGGAUGGCCAAAACGCCGCCGGCCCAUCCGGGAAAAACAACCCCCUCGUUUCUCUGAAGACUGA
rnacentral:lncRNA from 1 species